AAAUACGGGGCGGGGUCAGUCAGCGGCGGCUUUGAGCAUGCGCAGUUCAUUUACAGUAUGUUCGUGGAGCGGUAUGGUGUGCUCUGACUGUGAGAGACUGCACUGUGAGUGCUGUGGGGUGGGGCUCACUGAGGACAGUAACUGAAGAGCACGUGUGUUCACCUCAGAGUCUCCAAAAGUCUCCAACAACACCACAAAAACUCGCUAGAUUUCUCGCUAGUCACUUUUUUUUUUUUUUACCAAAAAAGUCGCCAGAGGGUCUGAAAAGUUGCUAAAAAUAGCGACAAAGUCGUUAGGUUGGCAACACUGAAACAGCAUAUCAACAGAGGACUUACAACUCUAGAAACAAUUACCGGACUUAGGGGUGAGCUGGAGCACAGAGUGAAGAAGGCAAAGGGGCAACAAGUGCUAAACACCUCUGGGAACUCCUUCAAUACUGUUGGAAAACCAUUUCAGAUGUCAGCCACACUCACCUGGAUGUCAUCAAGAUGUACUUUUCACACCUUUCAACUGGACUGUUUACACUGGAAAGAACUACUUCCCCACAGAUUGA